rnacentral:rRNA from 1 species
UACGUAGGGCGCAAGCGUUGUCCGGAAUCAUUGGGCGUAAAGAGCUCGUAGGUGGUCUGUUACGUCUGCUGUGAAAUCCUAGGGCUUAACCCUGGGCCUGCAGUGGAUACGGGCAGACUAGAGGUAGGUAGGGGAGAAUGGAAUUCCCGGUGUAGCGGUGAAAUGCGCAGAUAUCAGGAGGAACACCGGUGGCGAAGGCGGUUCUCUGGGCCUGUACUGACGCUGAGGAACGAAAGCGUGGGGAGCGAACAGG